CAGAAGUCAGGUCGGAUUAAGCCAUAGUACGGAAAAAACUAUGCUACCUGUGAGCCCCGUCCAAGGACGUUAAAAGAAGUCAGGCCACUACAAGUGCCAUAGCUUGAGUAAACUAUGCAGCCUGUAACUCCACCUGAGAAGGUGUAAAAAAUCUGGGAGGCCACAAACCAUGGAAGCUGUACGCAUGGCGUAGUGGACUAGCGGUUAGAGGAGACCCCUCCCUUACAAAUCGCAGCAACAAUGGGGGCCCAAGGUGAGACGAAGCUGUAGUCUCACUGAAAGGACUAGAGGUUAGAGGAGACCCCCCCGAAA
rnacentral:lncRNA from 1 species